rnacentral:misc_RNA from 1 species
UUCUAGCCCCGAUUGAACGGUUUGUUUGAGCUCUUUUUAGAAAUUUUCUUAGAGGAAUGGUUUGGCAAAAAUUUCUAAAAAAGCGAGUAGUGAAAGCGGGACAUUAG